rnacentral:rRNA from 1 species
GUGUCAGCAGCCGCGGUAAUACGGAGGGUGCAAGCGUCAAUCGGAAUUACUGGGCGUAAAGCGCACGCAGGCGGUUUGUUAAGUCAGAUGUGAAAUCCCCGGGCUCAACCUGGGAACUGCAUUUGAAACUGGCAAGCUUGAGUCUUGUAGAGGGGGGUAGAAUUCCAGGUGUAGCGGUGAAAUGCGUAGAGAUCUGGAGGAAUACCGGUGGCGAAGGCGGCCCCCUGGACAAAGACUGACGCUCAGGUGCGAAAGCGUGGGGAGCAAACAGGAUUAGAUACCCUGGUAGUCCACGCCGUAAACGAUGUCGACUUGGAGGCUGUUCCCUUGAGGAGUGGCUUCCGGAGCUAACGCGUUAAGUCGACCGCCUGGGGAGUACGGCCGCAAGGUUAAAACUCAAAUGAAUUGACGG